GCCCCCGUAGUGUAAUGGACAACAUGUCUGCCUUCGAAGCAGAAGACUGAGGGUUCGAGUCCUUCCGGGGGCACCA
rnacentral:tRNA from 1 species